GACAGAGGAGCCAAGCGUUGUCCGGACUGACUGGGCGUAAAGCGCACGCAGGCGGCGCUGUGCGUGGGGUGUGAAAGCUCUUGGCUUAACUGAGAGAGGCCAUCCCAUACGGCAGCGCUCGAGCGGUGCAGAGGUCCGCGGAAUUGCCGGUGUAGUGGUGAAAUGCGUAGAGAUCGGCAGGAACACCCAGGGGAAACCAGCGGACUGGGCAUCGGCUGACGCUCAGGUGCGACAGCGUGGGGAGCGAACCGG
rnacentral:rRNA from 1 species